rnacentral:lncRNA from 1 species
AAGCAGGUUAUGUGGCUCUUGUCUUUGGUUUGGCCCUGUUGGCCCUGUUUGUACGCUUCUCUUUGGGCGUAAAAACCUCCACCACGACCCCGACUUCUUCCACCUCUCCAAUUGCUUCGGCCACCACGUCCUCUUCCUCGAUAUCCUCCAUAGCUCUCUUGCCGAGAGUCGGUAUAUAACAAUUUACCCGGAUCCUCGGUUUGUUCCUCCUCUUCUUCGCUUAUUCUUUCUUCAUACGCUUUUAAUCUCC